rnacentral:rRNA from 1 species
UACGUAGGUGGCAAGCGUUAUCCGGAUUUAUUGGGCGUAAAGGGAACGCAGGCGGUCUUUUAAGUCUGAUGUGAAAGCCUUCGGCUUAACCGGAGUAGUGCAUUGGAAACUGGGAGACUUGAGUGCAGAAGAGGAGAGUGGAACUCCAUGUGUAGCUGUGAAAUGCGUAGAUAUAUGGAAGAACACCAGUGGCGAAAGCGGCUCUCUGGUCUGUAACUGACGCUGAGGUUCGAAAGCGUGGGUAGCAAACAGG